CCUGGUCCAUGAUGACUCCCAAAUUUGGAGACUGUUGGAUGAGUCCUGCGGAUAUGGGGCUGAGGCCUGGC